rnacentral:rRNA from 1 species
AUUGAACGCUGGCGGCAUGCCUUACACAUGCAAGUCGAACGGUAACAGGUCUUCGGAUGCUGACGAGUGGCGAACGGGAGCGUAAUACAUCGGAACGUGCCCGAUCGUGGGGGAUAACGGAGCGAAAGCUUUGCUAAUACCGCAUACGAUCUACGGAUGAAAGCAGGGGACUGCAAGGCCUUGCGCGGACGGAGCGGCCGAUGGCAGACUAGGUAGUUGGUGGGAUAAAAGCUUACCAAGCCGACGAUCUGUAGCUGGUCUGAGAGGACGACCAGCCACACUGGGACUGAGACACGGCCCAGACUCCUACGGGAGGCAGCAGUGGGGAAUUUUGGACAAUGGGCGAAAGCCUGAUCCAGCCAUGCCGCGUGCAGGAUGAAGGCCUUCGGGUUGUAAACUGCUUUUGUACGGAACGAAAAGACUCUUUCUAAUAAAGAGGGUCCAUGACGGUACCGUAAGAAUAAGCACCGGCUAACUACGUG